CGUUCUCAGUUCGGAUCGGAGUCUGCAACCCGACUCCGUGAAGCUGGAUUCGCUAGUAAUCGCGCAUCAGCCAUGGCGCGGUGAAUACGUUCCCGGGCCUUGUACACACCGCCCGUCACACCAUGAGAGUCGGGGACACCCGAAGUCCGUAGCCUAACCGCAAGGGGGGCGCGGCCGAAGGUGGAUUCGAUAAUUGGGGUGAAGUCGUAACAAGGUACC
rnacentral:rRNA from 1 species